rnacentral:rRNA from 1 species
AUAUUGCGCAAUGGCCGCAAGGCUGACGCAGCGACGCCGCGUGAGUGAUGAAGGCCUUAGGGUUGUAAAUCUCUUUUACCAGGGAUGAUAAUGACAGUACCUGGAGAAUAAGCUCCGGCUAACUCCGUGCCAGCAGCCGCGGUAAUACGGAGGGAGCUAGCGUUGUUCGGAAAUACUGGGCGUAAAGCGCACGUAGGCGGCACUGCAAGUCAGGGGUGAAAUCCCGGGGCUCAACCUCGGAACUGCCCUUGAAACUGCAGCGCUAGAAUCUUGGAGAGGCGAGUGGAAUUCCGAGUGUAGAGGUGAAAUUCGUAGAUAUUCGGAAGAACACCAGUGGCGAAGGCGACUCGCUGGACAAGUAUUGACGCUGAGGUGCGAAAGCGUGGGGAGCAAA